rnacentral:other from 1 species
UAGAGCCUGCCCUGUGCGUGGUGAAGGAGUUUAUAUUGGGGUCCACAUGGUGAGGCAAUAGGGAGCCCGGUCUCCGGAGGGGCCAGAAAGGCUUUCCGGGAGGGCACCCACCUGUUAUUGUUGGGGCCCACCGAAGGCUCCUUCCUCCACGGCAUGGGCGGGUAUUUC